GAAAUGCGAUAAGUAAUGUGAAUUGCAGAAUUCCGUGAAUCAUCGAAUCUUUGAACGCACAUUGCGCCCUCUGGCAUUCCGGGGGGCAUGCCUGUCCGAGCGUCAUUACGCACCCUCAAGCCCGGCUUGUGUGAUGGGCCCUGGCGUCUCGUUCGCGAGACGGGCCCGAAAGGCAGCGGCGGCGUCGACCCGAUGAGCCCGAGCGCAUGGGGACUUUUGUCACACGUUUGCGGUGCGGACCGGCGCCUGCUUGACUUUUCUGAUUAUCCAGGUUGACCUCGGAUCAGGUAGGGAUACCCGCUGAACUUAAGC
rnacentral:misc_RNA from 1 species